rnacentral:lncRNA from 1 species
CUGCUUUUAAGAGACUUCAAUAGCUUUAUUAAUGUGUGAGGCCACAUCCUUUGGCAGAAGGCAGCCGGGAAGUCGUCGGGACCUGGGGCUUUAUUAUUCAGAUUCUCAUUCUUCAAACGUGAUCUCCCGUCUAAGCCACGGAUUGUCCUCCGCGUCCAUUUUUCGAUUUUUUGGGUGCAUUGGCCAUCAUCUCGAUUCAGAAUUUUAUUUAAGUAGGCAGCAGCGCUAAUACGUAAUCUCCCAUCACCCCACCCCCUAUCACAUGAUACUCCGCCACAUCAUAAACACAUAUUUAGUGGAAUUUUCAGUUCUUAGUGGUUAGUAUCACCCUGGGAAGCAUCUUAGGUUGUGUGUUUUUGAAAGGCUCGGCAUACCAUGAGAAGCCUACCCUCCAUAGCUCCGCCUCUCUUUUCUUAGCCGGAGCUUUGCCCAUUUAGUCCGAACUUUGGUGAGAGGCAAGCAAAAAUGGAUUGUAUAAAGGCGGGCAUUCUAUCUCACAUAUCGCGCAUCUGUCUGAAUGAUG